AGUUCAUCGAAGCUGGAGUUUUAGUUCUGAUUAGAGAGCGAGUGGUGCUGUGUCAUUUAACAGUGACAAAUUUGAACACUUCUUUUGGUUACUUGAGACAAAAAUGUUAAAUCAUAGCAAGAGUGCUCGUGAUAUUCGUCGCGAAAGAAGCCACGAUACGCUUGCUACCCAACACCAGCUGCCCCAGAGGCACCAACAGCUGCAACAGUGGGUGUGAUCAAUGCACCCGAUUAUGUUUGCUUUCGCUUCGCAAAAGGUCCUUUUAACAGAACUGUCUACUCAAGCAGCGGUCCAAGUAAUCACUGAUUGAAUUCCACAAAAAAAAACGCCGUUCGCCAACAGAUCAACCGACGAUCAUUCACUGUGGAACAAUUGCUCCGGCACAAUAACGACCAGAUCGAGCGAGCUAACGUGACACGGAUGUCGAUGCGUUUAAGAAUGCGUCGCCGUGGUUGGCGGCACUCAGAACAACUUGCAGCGGGUCACAG